rnacentral:tRNA from 1 species
GCCGGCGUAGCUCAGUUGGUAGAGCAUCUGAUUUGUAAUCAGAGGGUCGGGGGUUCAAGUCCCUUCGCCGGCUUCA